UUCAGUAACUCCGCAGCAUAUGCGGCUAGGAGUUUUUACUGUGUGGACAGUAGCAGUGAAUGCCAUUGCGGUUUAGGCUGAUACACGGGCGGGCAGAUACGCCGGAGAAGUGACUAAACGACUAAAGUAAGACACUAAUGGGCUCGUUUGGGAGAUGACUUACCAGGAGUUAAAAAGAAGCGACAGCAUGAAGGAUGUACAACCAAACUUCCACUCAUCAGAAGACAGAAUGGAUCAGAUGUCAGACAGACACAAGGACAGAUGUGAAGAUAUUCCCCCAGAAGUUGCUUCCAACAGAGGGAGGAGGAAGCUCAACACAGCAGACAUGAGACCUGCACCAACAUGUAGAUCUGCUAAACAUCAUGGACAUGGACAUUAAUGUGGUUUUGCACCUUUUAUACCCCCCAUUGAUACUACUGGAAAAGGCAGGAGUGAUGGGUUUAUCACGUAUAUUUCUCCUAUAAGGUUCAUGAUCAUCUGUUGCAGGAGCGCAGCCAUACACUCCAGUAAAUAGUUUGUAUAGCAUUGUGUAUGUUUGGCAGCAGUCAAUGUGAGCUAUGUGUAGACUGUACUUCACACCUUGGCCAGCAGAGGGAGGCAGUGGCGCGUCAGUGGAGUAUCCAUGCAGGUGACGGGUUGACCUCAUACACUGGAGAGCAAACUAAAGAAAGACUCUUCUGACCCUAGACACCUCCUCUAGCCUCUGUCCACCAGCACGUAUGUGACAUAAUACCGUCACCAAAUGGAGGCAGUGGAGCUUCCAUGGAGAAGAGGACGUAGAAGGCUAUAAUGCACGUGUUUGCAUGGCUAAUGCACUGAAUGGUAAACUGUGACCAAUCAAGAGGGACUCCUCUCUCCCUGACACCUCCUGCAAAUGACUGUAAAUAACUCCUCCAGCUUCCAUCCUCCAGCAGAUCACAGAACACUCCACCACACCACCACUUAAAGAAAGAAACUGCUUCCUUACCAAGGUCAAGACUCCAAAUAACUGCUGUGAUAAUGUGCAAAUGUCAUAUAAGUGUCUGUAAUACUGUUGGAUUUGUUACUCCACAUUGCACUUUUAUUGCUUUAUAUAUCGUGCCAAUACACUUCUUAAGAAAUGUUGUUGCUGUCUUGAUAUAGUUUUUCUCUACAGUAUAUCUUGUACAUUUUAUUUAGGCCUACAGUGUCAUUAUUUCCCCUUAAUUAAUAAUAAUAAUAAUAAUAAUAAUAAUUGUAUUUGUAUAGCACUGUGUCAUACAAGGCAUGUAACUCAAAGUGCUUAACAAAUGGAAAAAAAAAACAUUGUUAGAGAUAGAUUUAAAAGGAGAGGUAUAGAGGAGAGGCAGAAAAAGCAGGAAGGUAGAGGAAGAAGAGAUAGACAGAGAAUGUAGAGUCAUAAGGUCAACGUAGGAUAGGACCAGGAUUCUUAGAUGUGUAAGGUCCAUAGUGGCUGGGCCUAUCAUAAAUCAUAAAUAGUCAGUCACACAGAGAUUGGGCGCUCAGAAUUCUCACUUGCAAGUCCUUUUGUGUUUAAUUAUUCUAAAACAAAGUGAUCCAGACUAUUGUGUUUAUAAGCUAUAAAAUCUAUUUUCGGACAAAUAAUGUGUCUACAACAUCAUGUAUGAAUG